CCUGCGGCAAUGGAAGGACUACUGGACUUUUUUUUUUUUUUAAAAGAAAGAAAGAAAAAGAAACAAUUUGGCACAGAGAGAGUAAGAGACUCGACUUGAUUUUCUUGGUGCAAAACAGGAAUGAAUAUAGAGAGGAUCAAAAAACGUGAGCAGGUCACCCAGGCUCCAGUCUGUAUUAGUAACCCCACCUCGUCUGCAUAUCUUCACUAAACCUCGUCCUCUAGAGCUGUGGAGUGUGACAAUGGUGUUUGUGUACUCUGUAUCAAACGCCAUUAUCACACUAAAUAGCUACGGUGUGGCAGAAUACCUCAAUGUGUUCCGUGCUCUUUUUUUCCUUUUCUUUCAUUUGUUUGCCUUGUGGCUUCUGUGUAAUCCCUCUUUAAAUGUGCCCACAUAUCGAUAUGGCGGCCAUAGUGUGGGACACAUUCCACCACGCAGAAUGCUCUGAGAUGGAAAUAGAAAUAGAGCGUUGAUACGCUGUAUGUGAUCUCCUGCACCUGCCCGUGACCUACUUUCAUUUUUUUGGGGACAACUCUUUUAUUGUUUUUACAUAUAAACAAGUACAUCAGUCCGAGAAACAGUACAGGUUUAGUAAAAACUAAAGGAAAAUAGAAGAAAAAAUAAGGAAAGUAAUAAAUAAAAAUUAAAUAUUAAAAGGAUCUGGCGGCAACAACGCCCCCCUCCCUCUGGAUCUCCAUAAAACUCAAGCAGGACAUGAGAGACCACAUUUUCGUUACCUACUUUCUUCACGUUUUCGGAGCUAAUUUGCUACUGGACACCUUCACUUAUAUGUACAGUUAAGAAUAGAUUGCCCGUUUGUGUUUCAUGCUCCUGCCACAAUCACAAUUUCAUUAAAUGUGAAGGUGUAAAUCAAAUUGUAAGCGAAUCCAAUGCUGUAUUUCACGAUUGCACAGGUGCAAAUAAACUUUUUGUUUGUU